rnacentral:rRNA from 1 species
UACGGAGGGGGCUAGCGUUGUUCGGAAUUACUGGGCGUAAAGCGCACGUAGGCGGCUUUGUAAGUUAGAGGUGAAAGCCCCAGGGCUUAACCCUGGAAUUGCCUUUAAGACUGCAUCGCUAGAAUCGUGGAGAGGUGAGUGGAAUUCCGAGUGUAGAGGUGAAAUUCGUAGAUAUUCGGAAGAACACCAGUGGCGAAGGCGACUCACUGGACACGUAUUGACGCUGAGGUGCGAAAGC